rnacentral:lncRNA from 1 species
GUGGUAAGUUACCAUGUAAUUCAAUCCUUCAGUCAAACAACAUCCCAGAUGAGCUAUCGGCAUGGAAUCAUAUUAAACCCAAUUACUUAUCUAUAUGUAUCUCAAUCAAAAGGUGAUGAUUCAGUUGAUGAUAUAUUAGAAAUCUCUUUCUAAUUAUCAUUCUACUUUGGUCAAAGACUUUCAGAAUCAUCGACCUAUGAGAUCACAUAGGAUGUUCACU